rnacentral:rRNA from 1 species
UAUCAGAGUGAGAUUAAGCCAUGCGAGUCAACGUAGCAAUACGUGGCAUACGGCUCAGUAACACGUAGUCAACAUAACCAAAGGACGUGGAUAAACUCGGGAAACUGAGGCUAAACCGAGAUAGAUCAAGAUACCUGGAAUGGUUUUUGAUCAAAAUCUAUAUGGCCUUUGGAUUGGACUGCGUCCGAUCAGGCUGUUGGUGAGGUAAUGGCCCACCAAACCUAUAACCGGUACGGGCUCUGAGAGGAGGAGCCCGGAGAUGGGUACUGAGAUAAGGACCCAGGCCCUAUGGGGCGCAGCAGGCGCGAAACCUCUGCAAUAGGCGAAAGCUUGACAGGGUUAUUCUGAGUGACUUUCGUUAAGAAAGUCUUUUGACAUCUCUAAAAUGGUGUAGAAUAAGGGGUGGGCAAGUCUG